AUGGUGCGCGGCGGCCGGACCAAGAGCAGCCGCUGGCAUCGGUUUGGAGCUAAGCUAGCUUGCUUGCUUGGGUUGAUGCGGUCGCCGGACAGAGGAGGAGGCACCGCCGCAGCGGUAGAAGACGACGGAGGAGGAGGAGGAGAACCUCCGCCCACGGUGACGGAACGAGUCCACGAUAGAAAGGAUAAUCUCCCCACAGUUCGGCUGCUCUUCCCUCCCCACCUUCUCGGCCAGGGUGCUGGGUGGAGCGAGCGUGGCUCGGAGACGGCGAUGGAGGCGGCUCUUCUGGGCGGAUUCAUCAAGGUCAUCCUGCCGAGGCUCUUCUCUCUCAUCGACGACAAGUACAAGCUGCACAGGGGCGUCAAGAGCGACGUCAGGUUCCUCGUGAAGGAGCUCCGCAUGAUCGUCGGCGCCAUCGACGACGACGAGCUCUCGGCGACCUCCUCCGCCGCCGCGCGCCUCUCGAUCCAGGACCUGCGCGAGCUGGCCCACGGCAUAGAGGACUGCAUCGACGGCCUCAUGUAUCGCGCCACCUGGGAGCACCAGGCGUCCUUCCUCCGCCGGAGCGUUCGGCUUCGGCCCCCCAGGGCGCUCAAGACCGGCGCGCAGCUCGCUCGGGAGAUGCAGCGGCUCAGGCGGAUGGCGAAGGAAGCGCACGAGCGGAAGCGGAGGUACGCGGCCGACUUCCCCGCCGGCGGCCAGCCCUCCUCUGCCACGCAGCUGGUGGACGAGUCGCCCUCCUCCCCGUCCGAUCCGCGCAUCCUUGACGCGGAUCUGGUCGGCGUCGAGGGGCCCCUCGCGGAGCUGCUGGAGCAGCUGGCUGAGGGGCGACCCAGCCAGCUGAAGGUGAUCGCCGUCGUCGGGUUUUGCGGCUUGGGGAAGACCGCCCUCGCCGCGGAAGUGUACAACCGAGAAACCCGCAGCGAGAGAUUUGAGAGGCACGCGUGGGUUUAUGCGGCGCUGAAGAGCCCACGGGAGGUGCUAGCGGACCUGCUCCGGAAACUUAGCUCCGACGCCCCUUCUUGCCAGGGGAAAAGUGUACUGGAGACCUCCGAUGUCGGCCAACUCUGCACAGAACUGAAACAACAUUUGGUGAUGAGGAGAUAUUUCAUUGUGAUUGAUGACAUUCGAACAGAAGAUCAGUGGAAAACCAUCAAAUCUGCCUUGCCAGCAGAUAAGGAUAUUAGCAGCAGAAUACUGGUGACGACGACUAUUCAGUCAGUAGCUAAUGCCUGCAGUUCUAGUAAUGGCUAUGUUCACAAAAUGAGCAGACUUGAUAAAAUGUGCUCGAAACAAUUGUUCACCAAGAAAGCUUGUCCGGACAAAUAUUCAUGUUACAAGCAGCCUGAUCCAGCGGAAGUUUUGAAGAAAUGUGACGGCCAGCCACUUGCGCUGGUGACAAUAGGUGAAUUCUUGCAAGCAAAGGGUUGGCCAACAGGACCUAGCUGUGAAGACAUCUGCACCCAGAUAGGUUAUCACCUGGAGAAUGACAAGAGCUUCGAAAAAAUGCGACGUGUGCUGAUUCAUAACUACACCACUCUGCCUAGCCAUGCUCUCAAAGCCUGCUUGCUAUAUUUUGGUAUGUUCCCAAGUAAUCGUCCCAUCAGGAAGAAAAGUCUUUUGAGACGAUGGCUUGCUGAGGGAUUUGUAGAACCGCAACCUUCGCCGAGCUCCCCGGAUCCCAUAGCUGCUUUCAAUUCCCUCAUGGAUCGAAACAUCAUUGAGCCAAUCAAUUUGAGCAACAAUGAUAAUGUGAAGACUUGUCAAACAUAUGGCAUGAUGCGUGAGUUCAUUUUGCACAUGUCCAUCUCUCAGAACUUCGUUACUUUGUUUUGCAAUGACAAGAUAGAGCCCAAAUACGUUCGUCGGCUUUCUCUCCAUGAGAGCUCUGCUACAGUUGUUGACAGUUUUAGCACUGUUGAUUUAUCACUUGUCCGGUCUCUAGCAAUCUUCGGGAAGGCAAGUCAAACUGUAUUGGACCUCAGCAAGUACCAUCUUCUGCGAGUAUUGGAUCUUGAAAAAUGUGAGGAGUUGAAGGAUGAUCAUGUCAAAGACAUAUGCAACCUGCUGCUUCUAAAAUAUCUGAGCCUUGGGGGUGGUGUUACCACAAUUCCAAGAGAUAUUGUUAAACUGAAACAUUUGGUAUCACUUGAUGUAAGGAGAACAAAGGUACAGAUACUGCAUGUAGAAGUCUUCCAGUUGCCAUCUUUAAUUCACUUAUUUGGGAAGUUUAAGCUUACAGAUAUUGUCAAGCCAAAAAGUGAAGUACAUGAGUUUCUCUCCAAAGGAAAAAGUAACUUAGAAACGCUAGCAGGAUUUGUUACCGAUGGUAGUGGAGGGUUCCUGCAUCUUAUGGGCUAUAUGAAUAAACUGAGUAAGGUGAAGAUUUUGUGUGAGUUGCCUGCAGGCUGUGCUGACCGAACUGAUCUUAAGGAGGCCAUUCAACAGUUCAUUGAGGAUGAAAAGCAGGCAAAUAUUGGUUCUCGCUCUUUAUCGCUUCAUUUCGGCAAAUGCUGUGAAGAGCUCCUGAAUUCCUUAAAAGGACCCUGCUACCUCAGCUCACUGAAAUUGCAUGGUGACUUGGCUGCACCUCCUCAGUUUGUUGUGUCACUUCGGGGCCUCAGGGAGCUGUGCCUUUGGUCUACUAGAUUGACAGCGGGUGUUCUUGAAGCUUUGAGUAAUUUGAGCUACCUGCAGUACUUGAAACUGGUUGCUGAUGACCUUGACAAGUUCGUCGUAAGAGACCAGGCGUUCUGCAGGCUUCUACGCCUUUCUUUGGAGCUGCAAUGUCCAACUUUCCCCACAAUAGAAGAAGGGGCUCUGCCAUUCCUUGUCACACUCCAGCUGCUCUGUAAAGAUCUGCACGGCCUUUCUGACCUCAAAAUAGAACAUCUCAAACACCUCAAGGAGGUCACUCUUGACCCUAGAGUCACUCCAACAACAAGAGGAACAUGGGAGAAGGCUGCUAGGGAGCAUCCGAACAGGCCAAAGGUUUUGCUGCUCAAAUCUGUUGAUGCAGCACAAAGUGAGCUUGCAGACUACACUAUAGCGUCAGAGCCAGCUGAAAGUGCCAUUCAAGAAACUAGUAUUCCAGCACUACUUAACCAGGGGCUGGUGGCAUCAUCCUCUGUGAUGAGGGAACAGAGCACUUCUGUUUUGAGCAAUAUGGGGCUCUCAGAGGUUUCUUCUGCUUUAACAUGA
rnacentral:rRNA from 1 species